CGAUAUUAUCCUGAAAGAGAAAAAAGAAGACAAAAGAUAUAAUGGUCAUAACGACCUAUCUUCUCCAGAUCAAUAUAGUACUGUUUUAUUCAGUUACCUUCCAAUGGUGGUACGAGGCUAGGGAAUAUAUCCCUUCAAAGGAUCCAAGUGUAGGCUGGUUCGGUAAUACGAUAUUAUCGAUUGUGUACUGAAAGGUCGGUCAAAGGGACGUCGGACUGUGUAAGCUGAUCGUAGAUCAAAGUUGAAUUUAUACUCUAACGAGGGAAUAUUCCUUGGUAGAAAAGAUUUAAUCACAGAAUCUUUUUGGAGUCCAUCUUUUUCCUCUCUCCAAAGGAUUCAACGCAGUUGAGAAAGAAAACUAAGGAUCAAAUAAUUUCGUUGACCGUGUUCUUGAAUAUCGAACUAAUGUUAAUUUGGAUUGCAUUUAGUAUUAAAAAUUAUAUAUGUAUCUUAAUGUGUAUUGCAAUACGGUGAGUGAGAUUAAUAACGAUAAGGAAAGGAGAGGUGUGUUAAUCGAUCUUGAAGAAGAAGAGGAAGAAAGAAGAGAUACGGAGGAUGAAGAAGAGCAAAGAAAAUGUAGACGUUCCUUCCUAAGAACUAAAUCAGUGACGUGGUACAUAGCUCUGUAGAAGAACUAACAGGACAAUAGAGUUGUGGAUCCAAGUAGAUAACUAAAUUAUACAGAUGCAGGAUAUUGAUUUAUAGACCUCCACGAAGCAUUAAAAAAGUUUUGGAGGACGUUGAUAAUAUAAUACAAUCGAUCGAUAACAUGUUACUCGAUGUUUGUUCUUCACACAUGAGAUAUAUGGAUGUGUAUUUCCUUUUCCUUUUCUUGAAUUCCUCCUGUAAGAUGAAGCAUCAUGUCACUGCCGAUGAACUGUAACAAAAACUGAAACUUUUUAAGAACAAUGGGAUUCUUCUCAUGCUGAUCAUCUCGUUCAUUUUGCAAUUUUUAUUAUGGCAUCAAGUUAUCGGAAAAAAAAUUUUUUAUUGCAUAGACAACAUUUUCCGCCGACGUUUGAUAAAUUAAAAAUGUGUAUAAUAAAGUUCACAAGAUAUUUUUAUUACGAGAGUGUAUCAAGAAAUAAAUUAAUUUCUUUUUAUUCAAUAUUAAUACUUGGGACGGAACGAUCAAUAAACAUUACGUAGAAGCGUUUAUUUCCAGAUAUACAAAACUAAUUAAAGGCGUAGGCAGUUCCAAUACCCAGGAAGUAUUGCAAAGGACCUGAAUCGACCGAUAUCCGGAUUGUAAUUACUUCCAAAGAAGAUACGAGAAUUUUAACUACGCUCAACUUGAUACUUAAAUAUGAGACAUCCAAAGAGAAACAUAUUUACCUAGUCUUCCUGUUCUUCUGUACAUCCGAUAACAAGUCAUACAUGGAUAAUACAAACGUCAGACCAUCAACCAGAUCAAGGUUUUUGUAGCAAUCUAUCGGCGGUGAUGACGCUCUAAAUUGUAGUUCGAAUUUAAGAAAAGGACAGAAAGAAAAACACGUAUGCUUAUAUCUUAUGCGCGGACAAUGAAUUAUAUUGUAUCGAUCGGCGGAAUUGUAUUAUCUAAGAUUAUCAUCGAUUUUUAAAUCAUUUCUAGUACUUCUCCGUUGUACUAUAAGUAAUCGAUUUCUUUUCAAGCACCGUUCUCGUCUCCAUGUGAUCUCAUAAUGUGUUCAUUAUUUGCUUGAGAAUACCUAGGAAGAGGAAAAAGAAGGGAAAAAAUUCGUACUUGACGACGACUUUUCAACGCAGUUUGAAAAGACCAAUGGGGAGCAGUUUUGUAAAGAUUGUAACGCUGGUAAGCUGUAAUCGGAUUUUAUCAAAGAAUCCAAACGUAAACGGGUUUAUAUGGAGGAUAUAUGCGAUUGUGCUCAGAAACGUUUGUUAAAGGACUGUGCGACGUUCCAAGCGGUAUAUGCAUCAAAGGGGAAUUGAAGUGAAUCUGAGGGAGACUUAUCAUACUUUUAAUUUCCCAUAAAGGGACGAUCAAGAGAUAAACCGUUUUUGGAAGUAAUAACGUUAGCAGGGGAAUAAUUUUUCAUUAUACAUGAAAUAGAAAGUCUACGUUCACGUUAUCGUUAUUCCAUCGAUUUAAAUCAAGUAACCAUUCGAUACAAUUAAAAAAGAAGUGUUGAAUUCUACAUCUCAAAUUGUUUGUCAUAAUAUGCACGACACGUACUUAAAAAAUAUUUGUAAUAUUUAAUGCGCGUUUUACAUAAAUAUUGAAAUUUGAAGGAAGUAAUUGCUGCGUAGCGCGAAUCAGCCUGUUGAUACAUUUAGAUAGGGUUUUAAUGGAAGUGGAUGUACGUAAUACAUUCUCCCAUACUUACCGUCAAGUGGCUUCGUUUUAAACCUCUCGUUAUUAUCUCUCUCCAUCUGCGGGUGCUUUAUUGUGCGCUUACCUCUGCCAGUUCAAGAAAGACGGGGUUGCGUGAGCGGUCUUGUGGACGUGUAUACGUAAUACUCCUGUCUUGUUUAGAUUAGAGAGAAAGUAUUUUUUCAUUUGGUUUCUUCUCAUCAAACCAAACAGACCUUUGAAGGAUAUCAUUAACUGUAUAAUUCAAUCGUCUAUUUAAUAACUAUUAUCAUCAUCACAAGGUAACACAGUUACGUAUUUUCCAAAGCAAUGGACUAUUUUCUUAGGAACUUGAACUACCGCACGUAAGCGCGCACAUGUAUGGAGACAGGUAAUUAUUAAUAGAUUAAUACGAUAAUGCUGGACGAUAUGUACGAGGAAAUGUAUUACGUCCGUGGAGAUCAUUAAAUCCCCAUCAAUACUAGUUAACAAAGUGAUAUGUAGACAUAGAGGAUCAUAUAUUUUUGUCAAAUAUCAAAAUUUCGUCCUUUAUAAUGCUUUACGAUGUCUGUGAUAAAUGUUGAAGCUAUUUUCUUCCAACACUAUCAUUCAUCUCAUUAUGUAUGAGAUCUCUUCGUUUUCUCGUUGGAUGACAUCACUAUCACUGCUAUCUCCCCGAUUAAUAUUUAUUUCUUCUAACGUAUCCGUAUAAAUGUGUAUACCUGUAAUUCCCCUUCGGCAUUACAUAUGACUCGAAACUCUUGUUUGUAAAUUUUGCCAUGCUCAACGAAAAAGAAAUAAGUAAGUAAACGGUAUGGUAGUCUCAAAUUGUAGAUUAGGAAAUAACGAAGCGAUAUAUACAAAAUGAAUAUUACUAUUCUGAUUUCCUGAAUUAUUAGUCGAGGGAUCUAUCUGUACUUCUGUUUCAAUCUGUUUCAAUACCAAGUGAGUUCAGCUUUGAAAAUCUCUUAAUCCCAGUUUUAUCAAUACUUGUUUACUUCAUCAAAUGUCAGCAUAUUUAACGAGGUCUACUCGCAUACCAUUGCAAACAAGUCCAUCUUAUCUGAGAAUGUAAAACUGUCAAACUUAUCUGGAAAAACUGACUGAUAUUCAUUCUAGGAAUUAGAUUUCUUUUGCUACUUCAAUAGAAAAAUCCAGAGAGACCUGCAUGUCUUGCAAAAAAAUAUGGCGAUGCAAUCACUCGAUCUUCUCAAAUAACUCACAAACUCUGUAGUUCUUUCGGAGGGGAAAUACGUGAAAGAGAAGAAGAUAAUAUUGGCAAACGAAAAAAUAUGACGAAAGAUUUUCUUUGAGUACAUGUUUUUUAUUAUUUCUUUGAAUACAUAUUUUUAUCAUAUAAUAUUAUUGUAAAAUAACGGAAAUGAAUUCUUCGAUAACUUAAGAUAUAUAUUUGUUUACAAAAAAGAGGGUAAUAUUUGGAGAAAAUGUUUCCAAGGAAUCUGAAAGUUGAUACAACUUUCGACGAAAAAAUUUUUUUUCAUCGGAAGAUUUUACAAAAAGAAUUACAUAGUACGAAAAUUGUAAUAUCAUUAAUAUGAUAAUAUUAGAAAAUUGUUUUUAAGUAUA